rnacentral:rRNA from 1 species
UACGUAGGGGGCAAGCGUUAUCCGGAUUUAUUGGGUGUAAAGGGCGUGUAGGCGGGAGCGCAAGUCAGAUGUGAAAACUCAGGGCUCAACCCUGAGCCUGCAUUUGAAACUGUGUUUCUUGAGUGCUGGAGAGGCAAUCGGAAUUCCGUGUGUAGCGGUGAAAUGCGUAGAUAUACGGAGGAACACCAGUGGCGAAGGCGGAUUGCUGGACAGUAACUGACGCUGAGGCGCGAAAGCGUGGGGAGCAAACAGG